GCCUGGGUGGCUCAGUCAGUUGAGUGUCUGACUUCUGCUCGGGUCGUGAUCUUGUGGUUUGUGGGUUCGAGCCCCAUGUUAGGCU
rnacentral:tRNA from 1 species